GUAAAAAUAUACUGUAAGUCUCUCUGGAUAAGAGUGUCUGCUAAAUGACUAAAA
rfam:Salmo salar isolate Sally breed double haploid chromosome ssa13, whole genome shotgun sequence.